rnacentral:rRNA from 1 species
CUCUUCGGGGAUGAUUAAACCGGCGCACGGGUGAGUAACACGUGAGUGACCUGUCUUUUAGACUGGAACAACUUACCGAAAGGUGAGCUAAUGCCGGAUGAGUUAUAUAAGUGCAUGUUUAUAUAGGAAAAGUUGGGGAGACCUGACGCUGAAAGAUGGACUCGCGUCCCAUUAGCUAGUUGGUAGGGUAAUGGCCUACCAAGGCGACGAUGGGUAGCCGGCCUGAGAGGGUGGCCGGCCACACUGGGACUGAGACACGGCCCAGACUCCUACGGGAGGCAGCAGUGGGGAAUUUUGCGCAAUGCUCGUAAGAGUGACGCAGCGACGCCGCGUGAAUGACGAAGGCCUUCGGGUCGUAAAGUUCUUUCGACAGGGAAGAAAAUGCCUAUAAGUAACUGUGUAUGUAUUGACGGUACCUGUAUAAGCAGCCCCGGCUAACUCCGUGCCAGCAGCCGCGGUAAUACGGAGGGGGCGAGCGUUGUUCGGAGUGACUGGGCGUAAAGAGCACGUAGGCGGUGUUGUAAGUCAUUAGUCAAAGACUAGAGCUCAACUUUAGUAAGGCUAGUGAUACUAUAAUACUAGAGUAUCAGAGAGGAUUGCAGAAUUCCUGGUGUAGCGGUGAAAUGCGUAGAUAUCAGGAGGAAUACCGUUAGCGAAGGCGGCAAUCUGGCUGGAAACUGACGCUGAGGUGCGAAAGCGUGGGUAGCAAACAGGAUUAGAUACCCUGGUAGUCCACGCUGUAAACGAUGGAUGCUAGGUGUUGGGCUUUUA